rnacentral:ncRNA from 1 species
CACAGGGGAGGAGUCCCCAGAAGCGCGGCGUCCCAUCCGGUCGCCUCGACCGUCGCGCGGUGCCAAUGGCGAGACCGACCCUCCGUGAG